rnacentral:rRNA from 1 species
GUGGGGAAUCUUCCGCAAUGGACGAAAGUCUGACGGAGCGACGCCGCGUGAGUGAAGAAGGCCUUCGGGUCGUAAAGCUCUGUCAUCAGGGAUGAACGGCCGGUGGAGUGGAAAGCCACCGGAUUGACGGUACCUGAGAAGGAAGCCACGGCUAACUACGUGCCAGCAGCCGCGGUAAUACGUAGGUGGCAAGCGUUGUCCGGAAUUAUUGGGCGUAAAGCGCGCGCAGGUGGGAUCUUAAGUCCAUUUUUAAAGUUCGGAGCUCAACUCCGUGAUGGGAUGGAAACUGGGAUUCUUGAGUACCGGAGAGGAAAGCGGAAUUCCCCGUGUAGCGGUGAAAUGCGUAGAUAUGGGGAGGAACACCAGUGGCGAAGGCGGCUUUCUGGACGGUGUCUGACACUGAGGCGCGAAAGCCAGGGGAGCGAACGGGAUUAGAUACCCGGGUAGACC